AUGACAAUGGAGAAUGCUGCCCACCUCCAAAGUCAGCUAACCUCUCUCAUGAACGCGGUAAUGAGGGCAGCGGUCGUGGAAAUAGUCAGACUUGUAGAGGGCAGCGCCGUGGCCCUUCGCGACGAGUUGUCCAAGAGUAAACGGGAGAACGAAGCACUGAAAGCCGAGAACGAGUCGAAUAAAAAUAAGAUGCAAAAUUUGGAAGCAAAACUAGCUGCGGAGCAGCGUUCUCUUGGUUGUCAUGUAGCCGAAGCUGGUGGCGAUCAAUUUGUCCAAACAAAGGAAGAUGUUAAGGCUUGUGCAGAGAAGACCCGUGCAAGGCUGCAAUCUUUGGAGCCAGCAGGCCAAUCCCAGGCUACAGCUUUCAAUAAAGGGGAAGGCCUAAAAGUUGUUGCCAUGGAGAAGGAUGGAAUACAAGUACUCCGCAUCAAGAAGGAAAUAAAUGAAGGCACAGAACAUGACACACCAUGUCCAAUGACCGGUGAGCAGCCGUGUCCCAAAGUGGACAUGGUGUAUGGCAAGGAGUGGAGCCAAAGCCUGUGGCGAGAUGGAAAAGAAAUAGGAGACCGCAGCGACGGAACAGAGGAGAAAGAAACUCCAGGACCAUCAAUGACCCAGCAUCAGAAAAGGAGAAUUGUCCAUUAUGCAGAUGAUUGGAUUGAAGAGGACUGGAUUAAAGAGGAGGGCGUACCAGUGGAAACCAAUGAAAGUAUUGAUACUUCAGUCAUCCCAUUCAUGGCGGACAGUGAUUUGUCAGAGUAUGGAGACGGGCUAUCCACACUUUGCAGCCAAGCCAAUUACAUGGAUGCCAUGACAGAGAGCUUGAAAGGCAGAUUAGGGUCUGUUAGGGAUAAACAAACCACACGAUUAAAAACUGGAUUGUUGGGGAAUACUAAUGCCAAGAAGAAACAGAGAAUAAUUGAACUAGGCUGGAUGGACUUCAAUGAAAAGGGGAAAGAGUUCAAGCAAGUCAGGACAGUAAACGGUGGCGGUACAAGACACCUCUAUGUUGACAAGAAGAAAUCUGUUGAGGAAAUCAAAGUAAUGGCAGAGGAAAUGUUUUUCCCAAAUGGACUUUCAAAGAAAAACACACAACUGGAGGACUAUCAUCGAGAAAUCAGAUGGAGGUACUCUCAAGUAAACAAUUCAAGCACUGUGGAAGAACUUUAUGAGGAAACCAAAGUGGGAUGUCUACGACUCUAUCUUUGCACAAAGGCACACAGUGUCCGCGAUUUUGGGGUUGUAGUCAGUGCCGCCUCUGCCUAUACACAGAGUACGCGCUGCGCGUAGGGCCCCGCCUAUACACCGUAAACGUUGCGCGUAGAACACCACCGAUUGGUCUGAAAAUCUGGGCUGUUGCUCUGCCGCGUUCCACCCCAGAUAUCUAUAGUUUAAACUGACGGAUUUUGAUGGGGGUAUCUUUAUCACGUUAGUUAGAUUGCAUCAAAUAGAUUCCACUGCCUAAUUCUUGAGGACACAAUGACCAUAUAUUUUUGAUUCAUUAGAUCAUAAUGUAUAUACAAUAAUUUAGCGUGGAAAUGUUUACUCAUUGUAUUAAAACUGGGACUUGCUUUGUUUGUACCAAUGGUCUCCAAUGUAAUUUUUUUGCUGAUGGUGGAAUUUGUUUAUGAUCCUUUCUUUAGUUAGGCGUCAGGUAGCCUAGUGGUUAGAGCGUUGCGCCAGUAACCGAAGGUUUGCUGGAUCGAAACCCCGAGCUGACAAGGUCGUUCUACCCCCGAGCAAGGCAGUUAACCCACUGUUUCCCUGGCGCAGAAGACGUGGAAUGUCGAUUAAGGCAGCCCCCCCCGCACCUCUGAUUGGGGGAUUGGGUUAACCCUUGUGCUUUGCUGAAAAAAUACUACGCCCAUUGUGAGAUGGGUCAGAUUGACCCGCACAGUUCAAACACUCCAGACAGUCAAAGAAUCAAGUAAAAACAAGACCAUUUUAUUUUGUCUUCUCAGACCUUUCAGGACGAAGAAAUACAAUACCAAAACUCUACAUUUAACCACUAUUUGUCAAACAUAUCUCACAAACAAGCAUUUGUUUCCCCAUGUAGGCAUUUGUUUUGUAUUUCCCAGUAACGAUAACACUUAGGUGUCAUUUGACCCUAUUGUUCAAAAGUAUCCCUUCACAGUCUUUCUCUCCGCAUGUUGAACACAAUGUACCUGUGUGCUUGACAGUCUACCUUGACUUCGUUGUGGUGACGGUGACCAUUCUAUAGCACCAUCUUUAGACUUUCAUGUCCUCUCUUCUCUGGGUGAUGGUAUGCUCUCUCUCCUCAUAUGCUCUCUCUCCUCAUCUGAUGGAGGGGAUGGUAUGGCAGACUCCUCCUCUGAAUCCUCUUCACCAAAGAAAAAUGCACAAUCUGGAUCAUCAACAGCGUUGUCCUCCAUCUCUGAAACCUCUUCUCCUAUUUGACUGUCACAGUCCAGAAUUUGUGAUAAGGCUUCAUUGACUGAAAAUCUUUCGGAGCUCAUUUUUGACUGUCUGUGUCAGAGAUCUGCUGCUCUCGCACUGAGAAGGAGAAGCUUUGGAAACUCAUUUUCACCCAAACAUAAUCAUACAAGUGCAACCAGAACCAGUCAAAGCAAAAUACAUCAGAGACACUUGUUUAUUUUGGACCCGUGCCAAUAUCGAUACACAUGAAAGCCUCCGGAUCAAAAUGACCCACAACAUCAUGUUUGUAUACAGAAUAUGCACAAACAUUCCACAACAUACCAGUGUCCACAUUUUGAAGUUAGGCUCAUGACCCUAAAUGAGGAAAAUGUAUUUAAUUUCAUGGAGAAAACAAACAGGUUAACUAGUAUUUUAGACAACUCAAAAGUGGAAAUGGGUCAAAAUGACCCGCAACAUUAAGACACAUUUCAGUUGAAUGCAUACAACUGACUAGGUAUCCCCCUUCCCCUUGCCUCCUGUGUGAGAAGUUGAACACAACAGUUCAUUGCAGCCCUCCCGUUAUCAUUUCCUAUUGCCGAAAAAAAUUGGGGGAGGAGCAUCUCAGCAAUAUGCGAUGCUGUGUUUGAUUCUGCCGGGAUCGUGGCAAAUGAAGGUUACGCUCUACGUGAGCCUGUUACUUCAGCGUAACGAUUUGGCGCUCGGGCCACGUGGAGUGAUACAUUUGCCGUGUAACAAUUUUUAAUUAUGACCUUCAUGUCGUCGCUUUGUUAUUCACAACGACAUCAGCUUUGUUUACCGUCGCGACAGUGAAAACAUUGAGCUGACUACCACGUUUCUCGUCACUACAAG
rnacentral:lncRNA from 13 species